GACGAACGCUGGCGGCGUGCUUAACACAUGCAAGUCGAACGGAAAGGCCCUGCUUUUGUGGGGUGCUCGAGUGGCGAACGGGUGAGUAACACGUGAGUAACCUGCCCUUGACUUUGGGGUAACUUCAGGAAACUGGGGCUAAUACCGGAUAGGAGCUCCUGCUGCAUGGUGGGGGUUGGAAAGUUUCGGCGGUUGGGGAUGGACUCGCGGCUUAUCAGCUUGUUGGUGGGGUAGUGGCUUACCAAGGCUUUGACGGGUAGCAGGCCUGGGAGGGUGACCGGCCACAUUGGGACUGGGAUACGGCCCAGACUCCUACGGGAGGCAGCAGUGGGGAAUAUUGCACAAUGGGCGGAAGCCGGAUGCAGCAACGCCGCGUGCUGGAUGACGGCCUUCUGUUUGUAAACCGCUUUCGCCUGUGACGAAGCGUGAGUGACGGUAAUGGGUAAAGAAGCACCGGCUAACUACGUG
rnacentral:rRNA from 1 species